rnacentral:tRNA from 1 species
GUGCUUUCAAUGGGUUGGGAAGAACCGGCUCCGGCGAUUUGUAAUCAGGGGGUCGGCGGUUCGAGUCCGUCCGGGGGCACCA